UACGGAGGGUGCAAGCGUUAUCCGGAUUCACUGGGUUUAAAGGGUGCGUAGGUGGGCAGGUAAGUCAGUGGUGAAAUCUCUGGGCUUAACCCAGAAACUGCCGUUGAUACUAUCUGUCUUGAAUGUAGUGGAGGUGAGCGGAAUAUGUCAUGUAGCGGUGAAAUGCUUAGAUAUGACAUAGAACACCCAUUGCGAAGGCAGCUCGCUACACUAUGAUUGACACUGAUGCACGAAAGCGUGGGGAUCAAACAGG
rnacentral:rRNA from 1 species